AGAAAGGUCAUUGCCCAGUGGUGGAGCAUCUGCUUUGCAUGCAGAAGGUCCUUGGUUCAAUCCCCAGCAUUUCCA